GACGUAGGUGGCGAACGUUAUCCGGAAUUAUUGGGCGUAAAGGGUGCGUAGGCGGCAUGAUAAGUUAUUGGCGGCAAAUCGAGGCUCAACCUCGUGGAAACUGAUAAUACUGUCUUGCUUGAGUGCAGAAGAGGUUAACGGAACUCCAUGUGGAGCGGUAAAAUGUGUAGAUAUAUGGAAGAACAUCAAGAACGGCGAAGGCAGUUAACUAUUCUGUUACUGACGUUGAGGCACGAAAGCGUGGGGAGCAAAAAGG
rnacentral:rRNA from 1 species